CUAUUGGUAAAGAAAAAAUUAAAGAAAUAUAUAGAGAUAUAGAUUAUAGUUGUAAGAAUAAUAUAGGAUUUGAUUCUGUGAGAACUCAUAGAGAAAUAAGAAAAGUAGAAGAUAUUAUAACUAAACAUACGGAUAUACAAGAAGAAAUCUCAGAAGGAUUAUUUAAAGGAUAUAUAACCAAGAAAGGCCAACCUAUAAUCUUUGAAGAACUAUUAAAACAUAAAGAAUAUUUAAAGGUGUUCAAAAGAUUGAAAAAUAUAGAUAUAGGACCUGAUUGACAAUUCCUUAAAGAUAUAAGAUAGAUCUUGUAAAUAAUUUCAUUAAGGGCAAUAUAGUACUUUUAAUAAGAAAGGUUAUUGUGAAAAAUAGGAAGAAUCUACCAGCCAUUUUCAAAGUUGUCCCUCUUUUUCUCGAUGUCAGCUCCUCACUUGUUAUCUAUUUUUUCAUAUCUGUGAUUUCAUUAGUUUAGGCCAUAAGUUUUUAGUGAAGUAUUAUUAUGUUUCUACUUGUUCAACUACUAUGCUGAUUUUGGGUUUCGCUGUAUUUUAUCUUAGGUUUAAUGUAGUUUAGUGGUAUAAUUGUUUAGUUUCUUGAAUGUACAUGUUUUAAUUUAGAUUGCACUUUAUUGGGAAAAGUUGAGUUGGAUUUUAGCUUGAUUUGGUUGUUGUUCUCUUAUGCUGAAUUUGAGAUUUAGUUUGGGUCUUAGGAAUAUGAAAUUAUGAAUUAAAAAUUGGGUUUCCAAUUUCUUCUGAGAAUCAUAGUUUAUGGGCUUAAAGAGGGAAAAGAAUAUGCUGUGUUGUGCAAAGUGAAAUGUGAUUCUAUUUGAUUCGCAAAAUAUAGGGAUUACAAAAUUUUAUUUUUUAGUUGUUCUAAACGAUUUUCGUUUUCUUCAAUCGGAUGGGAGCUGUGGAAACAACAAAUUUGAAGAGGUCCAGAAUAUUUUUGACACGGUAUGACAGUUGAAAAUAUCCCUAGGAUUACAAUUGAUAAAGAUGAAAAUGUUGGUGACUAUGGGGGGAGAGUCUCUUCUUCAUUCUGUCUUCAAGUACUAUUAAUCAUGAAUAAUAAUGUUUCAUUUAUUAAUCAAUUGAAUUGAUUGCAAACAAAAUAUAAAAAAAUACUUUCAUUUCAUCAUUCCUACAUAUGAGGUUUCUUUAUUUGUUAUAUAAACCCUCAAUUAGGUUUGAGCUUCAGUAAAUGAGUUUAUUCAUUGUAAUUGGAUCAUAUUUUGUAUAAUGAAUUUCAGGAUAUUAGAUGAUUUACUGAUUAUGUCAGUAAAAUAAUUUUCAACAUAUUAGUACUUUUUAAUUUUGUUUCUUUCAUAAAUGUAGAAAGCAAUUCUUGUUUAAAUGAUUAUGGAGCAAGAUUUUGUAAGAAGUCUUCAAAAGAAAGUUAGGGUUGUACCUUGGAUGUGGAUCUUGCAGUAAAUUUUAUUUAUUGUUUCUUAAAUUUCAUAUAGACGGGUUUUUGUAGAUAUAAACUCUUUUUCAUCUAUUUAGCUCACGGAAUUAGAAAUGGAUUAGUCUGAUGUCAGGUAAUUAUGUCAUGCACAAGAAACAUAUUUGCAACAUUUGUUGGUUGAAUGAAGAACAUUAGUGGAACUGUUAGCCAAAAAUGAAAUGUAAUUGGAAAAGAAAUUCAAGGAAAUAAUAUAGGAUGAAUAUGAGGGUGUGACAUCAAUAAAGAACAGGCUACUCUUUUCUAUGUCUUAUGAAAAAUUAAAUUGUAUUGUAAUCAUUGCUUUGGUUCGGUUGAUAACUAAGAUUCUCCUAUUGAUGCAAGUAAUUCAAUAUUUUCUUCCUUAACUGUAUAGUAAUAGACGAGAUGUGAUCAAUGUUGUAUAGACUCAGCAGUUUGUUUUACAAUAUUAUCAUGCUUGUAUUUUAAACAUCUUAGUCAGGCUUUUAUCCUGGGCUGAUCUUAAUGUGCAGCAAGAGUUCAUCCAAGGAAUCACUGCUUCGAAUUUUAAUUAGGAGGAACUGAAUAAUCAAGCAACUCUUGUAUGUUGAAUGCUGCUUUAAUAAGUUGAGCUUUUUCCUAUAGAUUCAGGAUGAUGCUCUUUGUAAUUCAAAAGAUUCAAGCGGGAGUGGAAAGUACACUAAUGGUCAAGAUGACGCUGAUACUCCUCUAGAGGGAGUGUCCACUAAUAUUGGCAUUCAUUCAAAUGCUGCACAACAACUGGAGGUAUGGUUGCUAUUCAAUAUAUAGUUCCAAUUUUCCUAUUGUUAUUCCGUGCUUUCCUUCAGGCUCUCUCUUCUCUUUUGCUCUGUUUUUCAUUUCUCCCAAUCCUAUGUAAUUAUCUAGUAUGCGUAGUUUAAUCUUUAUUUUCUCAGGAUCAAUGAUAUUCAUAUCUGGAGAAUUCGUUUGCUGCAUUUCUUAUGAAAUUUCUUCGGGUACUAAAUAUGGUGCAUCUGGUUUGGACAAGAUAGAAAGGCGAAGUACAUAGUUUUGGACUCAAAAAUAGAUCAGCCUGCAAUGCAAUGGCAAUGGCAAUAUUUUCAUUGAUAUUUUGCGCCUUUGUAAAUUAACAUUUUUAGCAUGUUGGUAUAUCCUUAGCUCGUUGCCCUUGUUAUUUUUAGGAAACAAUUCUUGUGCACAGAGAGUUGGGGAAUACUGUUGGCCUUAAUGAACUUAUUGUGGUUCCUUUGAUAAUCC
rnacentral:lncRNA from 1 species